rnacentral:rRNA from 1 species
AGAGUUUGAUCCUGGCUCAGAACGAACGCUGGCGGCGUGCCUAACACAUGCAAGUCGAACGUGAUCCAUCCUUCGGGGUGGUGAAAGUGGCGCACGGGUGAGUAACGCGUGGAUAAUCUGCCCGAGGAUUUGGGAUAACAUCUCGAAAGGGGUGCUAAUACCGAAUAAGCCCACGGGGUCUACGGAUCUUGCGGGAAAAGGGGGGGACUUUCGGGCCUCCUGUCUUCGGAUGAGUCCGCGUACCAUUAGCUAGUUGGUAGGGUAAUGGCCUACCAAGGCGACGAUGGUUAGCUGGUCUGAGAGGAUGAUCAGCCACACUGGAACUGAGACACGGUCCAGACUCCUACGGGAGGCAGCAGUGGGGAAUUUUGCGCAAUGGGGGAAACCCUGACGCAGCAACGCCGCGUGGGUGAUGAAGGCCUUCGGGUCGUAAAGCCCUGUCGGGAGGGAAGAAAUGAUUGAGAGCUAAUACCUCUUGGUCUUGACAGUACCUCCGAAGGAAGCACCGGCUAACUCCGUGCCAGCAGCCGCGGUAAUACGGAGGGUGCAAGCGUUGUUCGGAAUUAUUGGGCGUAAAGCGCGUGUAGGCGGUCUUUUAAGUCUGAUGUGAAAGCCCCGGGCUCAACCUGGGAAGUGCAUUGGAAACUGGGAGACUUGAGUACGGGAGAGGAGAGUGGAAUUCCUAGUGUAGGAGUGAAAUCCGUAGAUAUUAGGAGGAACACCGGUGGCGAANGCGGCUCUCUGGACCGAUACUGACGCUGAGACGCGAAAGCGUGGGUAGCAAACAGGAUUAGAUACCCUGG